rnacentral:rRNA from 1 species
UACGUAGGGUCCGAGCGUUAAUCGGAAUUACUGGGCGUAAAGCGUGCGCAGGCGGUGAUGUAAGACAGGUGUGAAAUCCCCGGGCUUAACCUGGGAACUGCAUUUGUGACUGCAUCGCUGGAGUGCGGCAGAGGGGGAUGGAAUUCCUGGUGUAGCAGUGAAAUGCGUAGAUAUCAGGAGGAACACCGAUGGCGAAGGCAGGUCUCUGGGCUGACACUGACGCUCAUGCACGAAAGCGUGGGGAGCAAACAGG